rnacentral:piRNA from 1 species
UGGUAGUAACUGCCUCAGCACUGGUUCUGCC